rnacentral:lncRNA from 1 species
AUCUAAGCGUCACUCCCCCAUCUUGUCAUCAAUGGGAGUCACGUGCACCUUCUUCCGAAUAUCAUCAUUCCUAAUCUUAUCCACCCUAGCGCGUCCGCACAUCCACCUUAACAUCUUCAUUUCUGCUACUUUCAUCUUUUGGAUAUAUUAGUUCUUAACAAGCCAACACUCAACCUCAUACAUCAUGUCCUGUCUAGACAAUAUAAUAGUGGCAAAAAGUAU